UACGUAGGGGGCGAGCGUUGUCCGGAAUUACUGGGCGUAAAGGGUGCGUAGGCGGCGAUACAAGUCAGAUGUGAAAUGUCUCUGCUCAACGGAGGACGUGCAUAUGAAACUGUAUUGCUUGAGUGCAGGAGAGGAAAGCGGAAUUCCUAGUGUAGCGGUGAAAUGCAUAGAUAUUAGGAGGAACACCAGUGGCGAAGGCGGCUUUCUGGACUGUAACUGACGCUGAGGCACGAAAGCGUGGGGAGCAAAC
rnacentral:rRNA from 1 species